GACGAACGCUGGCGGCGCGCCUAACACAUGCAAGUCGAACGAGCGAGUGAGAUCUUUCUUUCUCACGCGCGUGUCGUACGCGUGAGUAACGCGUGAGGAACCUGCCUCAAAUCGGGGGACAUCAGUUUGAAACUACUGCUACUACCGCAUAAGCCCACCGGUCCUCCUCGCCUCCUUCUCACACGAGCCCUCCGCUUUGAGUUUGCCUUGAGUCCGAUUAGCUAGUUGGUGAGGUAACGGUCGACCAAGGUCACGAUCGGUAGCCGAACUGAGAGAUUGAACGGCCACAGUUAGACUAAGACACGGCCCAGAAUCCUACGCGAUGCAGCAGUGCAUAAUACUGCACAACGGCACAAACCCUGAUGCAGCAACGCCAGGUGAAAGAAUAAAAUCUUCGAAUUGUAAAAUCCUAUUCUCCAGGAACAUAAUGACGGUACUCAAAAAAGAAGGAACGGCUAACUACGUG
rnacentral:rRNA from 1 species